rnacentral:rRNA from 1 species
UACAGAGGGUGCGAGCGUUAAUCGGAAUUACUGGGCGUAAAGCGCGCGUAGGCGGUUUUGUAAGUCAGAUGUGAAAGCCCCGGGCUUAACCUGGGAACUGCAUUUGAGACUGCAUGACUAGAGUAUUGGAGAGGGCAGUGGAAUUUCCGGUGUAGCGGUGAAAUGCGUAGAUAUCGGAAGGAACAUCAGUGGCGAAAGCGACUGCCUGGCCAAAUACUGACGCUCAUGUGCGAAAGCGUGGGGAGCAAACAGG